ACUGAGCGACUUCACUUUCACUUUCAAGGAAAUGCAGCAGAGGUGACAAUGUAGGAACUUCCAUGGCUGGGUCUGAAGAGCCCUGUAGAUUCCAUUUUUACACACUUGGAAUGUUCCAUCUCAGAGCCCUGCUCUCAUGCUGAGAGGUCACACAGAAGAGACUUCAGGCGCUCCAGUCAGCGCCAAGUCAACAGCCAGCAUCGACUAUUGCUACAAGACUGAGUCAUCCUGGAUCAUGCCAGCUCAGCUAAGCCUCCAAAUAACCACAGUCCCAGAUAACAACUGAACAGAAAAACCAUCCAGCUGAGCCUAGUCAACAUGCAGCCAUCUCCUCUCGCAAACAUCUGCCCCAGUCAACUGUUGCUGAACAGAACAAGAGCCAUCCGAACAAGAUGUGAUCGGGGUCCCGGCGCAGAUGUGGGAUUUUUGAGGAAGGCCGAGGUGACUUCUCCAGGAAGGAGCUGGAGUUUACACUCUUCUUGGUAGGAUUGUUCUGGGCUGAACUGCUGAGGAGGAUCAAGCAGCGGGCGACUAACCCCGGUCCCUCCCUCCCUCUUCGGUCUCUCGCCUCCCCUUGUGUUCAUUAAGUGGGGGGAAGAAAAUGCGCCUGGCUUUCCAGCUCUCCUCUCCUUAAAAAUGCCCUCGCGGAGCCACCGCACACAGAACCCCGGCAGCAAAGAAUUUUGCAGAGAAGGGUUCGCCGACCCGGAGCGGAGCAGUGAAAUCGGCGCCCAAGGGCAAUUUUAAUUGUCUAACCCGGCUCGAUUUCCUAAGAGGCGGCAGCGCGGGGAGGAGAGGGAAGAGGCAGGCAGCUCCGACAGGCAACAGGGGCAAGCGGCGGCAGAGAAAGGGGAUCCCAACGGCAAGACCCCAGCCCCGGCGCCCGACGAGCUUCCGCCGAAAGGACUCCGAGGUUACCCCACUGUUCCCCGGGAGACGUCUGCAAAUCAUAUAUGCAGCCAAAAUGGCGCUGAGAAUAAAAAUAUAAUUUAAAGGCGGGUCGCCAUAUUGUAAACAG